rnacentral:tRNA from 1 species
UAUAUGAUGGUGUAUAGUGCACGUAAAAUUUUGAUUUUUAAGGAGGGAGUGUAAUUCUUUCUCAUAUAA